UGGGGAAUAUUGGACAAUGGGCGCAAGCCUGAUCCAGCCAUGCCGCGUGGAUGAAGAAGGCCCUAGGGUUGUAAAAUCCUUUCGCCAGGGAUGAUAAUGACAGUACCUGGUAAAGAAGCCCCGGCUAAUUUCGUGCCAGCAGCCGCGGUAAUACGAAAGGGGCUAGCGUUGUUCGGAAUUACUGGGCGUAAAGCGCGCGUAGGCGGCCUGCCAAGUUAGAGGUGAAAUCCCAGGGCUCAACCCUGGAACUGCCUUUAAAACUGGCAAGCUGGAGGAUGUGAGAGGAGUGUGGAAUUCCGAGUGUAGAGGUGAAAUUCGUAGAUAUUCGGAAGAACACCAGUGGCGAAGGCGACACUCUGGCGCAUUUCUGACGCUGAGGCGCGAAAGCGUGGGGAGCAAACAGGAUUAGAUACCCCCGUAGUCC
rnacentral:rRNA from 1 species